UAUGAUACUGAAUUCUGACUAGUCUUGGUCAAUGACAAGUUAAAAUCCGGGACUUGUAAUCUUCCAAGAAACUUUCAAAGGAGGAGAAAUAGUCCAGGAAAUUGGACUCAAGAUAAAACAACUGCUUGAAGAAUCACUCAGAAACCAGAUAAACUAAAAGGAAAUGAGGGCAGAGAACAUUGCAUAGAGUUUCCUGGAACUUGAAGAGGAAGGGGUUUUGAUUUUUAUUUCUAGUUGUUGGAUUGUAAAAAAAUAGAUAGUUGAUUUUAUAACAAGAUGCAUCCUCCGUUACAUGACCAGUCAAGAUACUCAGCUGAUGUCCAUCAAGGUCCAAUUCUUGUUUCAGGAGUUCCAAAACCCAAUCCUAUACACCCUUAUGCUCCACAUAUGGCCAUGAGGCACGUUCGUGAUGUAGCAGGGAAGUGGCCACUGGUCUUCGCCUUUGCUGUGAUAAUCCUGAAAAUUAGCAUAUUUAGAACUUAACUAGAUUCUCCAGUUUUCUAGCUAAAACUAUCAAGUAUCGUUACUUAAUUGUAGCCUUUUCUUUAGUUACUAACUAGCACUUUAAUUUCUUAGGUGUGAUCGUGCCUUUGUCCUUGAAUCACAUUUGGACAGAUUGCUUAAAUCGUGAAUGGAGCAUCCACAACAUGUUUCAUGAGUGGAGCAGUAUAAGCGUUACUGAUGGGUUUUGCAUGCUUCUACUCAUGUUGCUAUUGCUCAAAAUUAAGGGGCCAAUAUGACUUGGAGGAGGACCCUUGUGUGGAUUGGCUAGUGCACUGCUGCCGAGACUUGUGCUUUGUGUCAAGAGCUCAAGAAUCGUGGAUUUGAUAAGGGGCUAUGUACUAUGUUUACAUCUGUUCAGAUAUUUAUAAGCUUUCUGUUUCCAUUACCCUUCGAAAAAAUACAAGUAAAUAAACUUGUCAGAA